rnacentral:rRNA from 1 species
AUUGAACGCUGGCGGCAGGCCUAACACAUGCGAGUCGAGCGGAUGAAGGGAGCUUGCUCCUGGAUUCAGCGGCGGACGGGUGAGUAAUGCCUAGGAAUCUGCCUGGUAGUGGGGGAUAACGUCCGGAAACGGGCGCUAAUACCGCAUACGUCCUGAGGGAGAAAGUGGGGGAUCUUCGGACCUCACGCUAUCAGAUGAGCCUAGGUCGGAUUAGCUAGUUGGUGGGGUAAAGGCCUACCAAGGCGACGAUCCGUAACUGGUCGGAGAGGAUGAUCAGUCACACUGGAACUGAGACACGGUCCAGACUCCUACGGGAGGCAGCAGUGGGGAAUAUUGGACAAUGGGCGAAAGCCUGAUCCAGCCAUGCCGCGUGUGUGAAGAAGGUCUUCGGAUUGUAAAGCACUUUAAGUUGGGAGGAAGGGCAGUAAGUUAAUACCUUGCUGUUUUGACGUUACCAACAGAAUAAGCACCGGCUAACUUCGUG